rnacentral:misc_RNA from 1 species
CGGGCUCAGAAACAUACAUAAAUAUAGGGAGAAGACCCAAAAUCUAGCUCAAACAAAACAAGCAUAGAGAAAAGCUUGGUCUAAUUGGCCACCUAGCAACUCUAAGAAAAGCCGAUAAAAAACUGUACUGCCUCUUCUCUACCUAUAACAAGCUGGACCGCCAUCGAGGAUGGAACCCACUAACGUCCAAGAGUCUGAAAGAGACCUUACACAAGCAUAAAGGACCAUUGGUUUCAAUUACCUCUAGCAACAGUCCUCCGAACUCCUCCAGCUCAGACUUGCAUGCAUGGCCGGGAGAGUGAUGUCAUAGAGUUCCUCGGCGAGCUUAAUCUCAUAUUAUAGCCUUCAAGGACCACCUUCAGCCAAAAAGGAUGGUUAUAAGCCUGGAGAUACCGACAUCAAGCAUCCUGAUAUCCUUCCCACCGAUGCAACGGUGGCUUUAGACCUAAGAAUUCACAAACACAAUCAGAUCUGCGCAAACCCAACUCUGCUAAAAUACUUGAUCUUCUGUAUGAAACUCCAACAUUAGCAAGUCAAAACAAAAAACCUACACUAUCAACAGCCAACUCGGAACGGGGAGGGAAGCCGGAACCC